UUUUUGAUGAAGCAAAAACAGCCCAGGAAAAAGAUUCUUUGAUAACACCUCAUGUUUCUCGGUCAAGCACUCCCAGAGAGUCACCAUGUGGCAAAAUUGCUGUAGCUGUAUUAGAAGAAACCACAAGAGAGAGGACAGAUGUUAUUCAGGGUGAUGAUGUAGCAGAUGCAGCUUCAGAAGUUGAAGUGUCUAGCACAUCUGAAACAACAACAAAAGCAGUGGUUUCUCCUCCAAAGUUUGUAUUUGGUUCAGAGUCUGUUAAAAGAAUUUUUAGUAGUGAAAAAUCAAACCCAUUUGCAUUUGGCAACAGUUCUGCCACUGGGUCUUUGUUUGGAUUUAGUUUUAAUGCACCUUUGAAAAGUAACGAUAGUGAAACUAGUUCAGUAGCCCAGAGUGGAUCUGAAAGCAAAGUGGAACCUAAAAAAUGUGAACUGUCAAAGAACUCUGAUAUCGAACAGUCUUCAGAUAGCAAAGUCAAAAAUCUCUCUGCUUCCUUUCCAAUGGAAGAAUCUUCAAUCAACUACACAUUUAAAACACCAGAAAAGGGAUUUAAUUUUAGCCUUUUUAAAUCUAAUCCCAUGGCCUUUUGGACUAGCACCCCUUCCU
rnacentral:lncRNA from 1 species